rnacentral:misc_RNA from 1 species
UCCGAGUUGACCCCGGCAGUCUCCUAUGAGUCCCCGGCCGAACCGCUGGCAACAUAGAACGAGGGUUGCGCUCGUUGCGGGACUUAACCCAACAUCUCACGACACGAGCUGACGACAACCAUGCACCACCUGUACACCGCCCUUGCGGACCCCACAUCUCUGCGAGUUUUCGAUGUAUGUCAAGCCUUGGUAAGGUUCUUCGCGUUGCGUCGAAUUAAGCCACAUGCUCCGCCGCUUGUGCGGGCCCCCGUCAAUUCCUUUGAGUUUUAGCCUUGCGGCCGUACUCCCCAGGCGGGGUGCUUAAUGCGUUAGCUGCGGCACAGACGGCGUGGAAUACCGCCUACACCUAGCACCCACCGUUUACGGCGUGGACUAC